GCUUUAAUAAUUUAAACAAAAUAUUGGUCUUGUAAACCAAAAAUAACACCCGUUUUAAAGUU
rnacentral:tRNA from 1 species